GGGUGUAUAGCUCAAGUGGUAGAGCCACAUGCUUAGCAUGCACAAGGUCCUGGGUUCAAUCCCCAGUACCUCCU
rnacentral:tRNA from 1 species